rnacentral:rRNA from 1 species
GAUGAACGCUGGCGGCGUGCCUAAUACAUGCAAGUCGAGCGAACAGACGCGGAGCUUGCUCCUCUGACGUUAGCGGAGGACGGGUGAGUAACACGUGGAUACCUACCUAUAAGACUGGGUUAACUCCGGGAAAUCGGAGCAAAUCCCGGAAAAUAUAUUUGACCGAUUGGUUCAAUAGUGAAAGACGGUUUUGCUGUGACUUAUAGAUGGAUCCGCGCCGCAUUAGCUAGUUGGUAAGGUAACGGCUUAUUAAGGCGGCGAUGCGUAGCCGAGCUGAGAGGGUGAUCGGCCACACUGGAACUUGGACACGGUCCAUGCUCCUGCGGUACGCAGCAGUAGGGAAUCUUCCGCAAUGGGCGAGAGCCUGACAGAGCAACGCCGCGUGAGUGAUGAAGGUCUUCGGAUCGUAAAACUCUGUUAUUGGGGAAGAACAAAUGUGGAAGUAACUAUGCACGUCUUGACGGUACCUAAUCAGAAAGCCACGGCUAACUACGUG